GCAUACUUAGUUGGCAUCUAAACAUAUAAUCUUAGUUUUGGUAACCCACAAAACCAAAUUCAAAAUAGUUCAUAGCAGAUUAUCCAUCUUAAUUACUUUAUAUAUCUGAUCCAUCAUCUCAUAAUUGACUUGUUCAGACCUGGUAUUCAAUCUUUCGCUAGCUACAUCCAGGGUUCUUCUUAACUCCAAACUCCACCAUCAUCCUCCUCAUUCUC
rnacentral:lncRNA from 1 species